UACGUAGGGUGCGAGCGUUAAUCGGAAUUACUGGGCGUAAAGCGUGCGCAGGCGGUUCGUUGUGUCUGAUGUGAAAGCCCCGGGCUUAACCUGGGAAUGGCAUUGGAAACUGGCGAGCUGGAGUGUGGCAGAGGGGGGUGGAAUUUCGCGUGUAGCAGUGAAAUGCGUAGAGAUGCGGAGGAACACCGGUGGCGAAGGCAGCCCCCUGGGCCAACACUGACGCUCAGGCACGAAAGCGUGGGGAGCAAACGGG
rnacentral:rRNA from 1 species